rnacentral:rRNA from 1 species
UACGGGGGGGGGCAAGCGUUGUUCGGAAUUACUGGGCGUAAAGGCUCGUAGGCGGCCAACUAAGUCAGACGUGAAAUCCCUCGGCUCACCCGAGGACCUGCAUCCCAAACUGCUUGGCUUGAGUAUGGGAGAGGAUGAGGGAAUUCCUGGUGUAGCGGUGAAAUGCGUAGAUAUCAGGAGGAACACCGGUGGCGAAGGCGCUCAUCUGGCCCAAUACUGACGCUGAGGCGCGAAAGCUAGGGGAGCAAACGGG